rnacentral:rRNA from 1 species
GUUAUUGUUUAUUUGAUACAACAAAUGGAUAACUGUAGAAAAACUAGAGCUAAUACAUGCUUUAAUCGUAAGAUUGUAUUUAUUAGAUAUUCUGAAUUGGUGAAUCAUAAUAACUUCGCAAAUCUCGUUUAUGACGAGAUAAAUCAUCCAAGUUUCUGCCCUAUCAUGCUUUCGAUGGUAGUGUAUUGGACUACCAUGGCUCUCACGGGUAACAGGGAAUUAGGGUUCGAUUCUGGAGAAGGAGCCUGAGAAACGGCUACUACAUCUACGGAAGGCAGCAGGCGCGUAAAUUACCCAAUCCUGACUCAGGGAGGUGGUGACAAGAUAUAACGACGCGGUUAUUAUCGCGAUUGUAGUGAGGGUAUUCUAAACAGAACCUAUAGUACGAUUAGAGGGCAAGUCUGGUGCCAGCAGCCGCGGUAAUUCCAGCUCUAAUAGCGUAUAUUAAAGUUGCUGCAGUUAAAAAGCUCGUAGUUGGAUUUCAAGGAUUGUAGAACCUCCACGGGGAUACAUCCUACUAGUCUUCGGACUGUUACUGUGAGAAAAUUAGAGUGUUUCAAGCAGGCUUUCGCAAGAAUACAUUAGCAUGGAAUAACGAAUGUAUUUAGAAUCUUGGUUAAUUCUAAAUUACGAUUAAUAGAGACAGUUGGGGGCAUUAGUAUUUAAUUGUCAGAGGUGAAAUUCUUGGAUUUGUUAAAGACUAACGUAUGCGA